rnacentral:rRNA from 1 species
GACAGAGGGUGCAAACGUUGUUCGGAAUUACUGGGCGUAAAGCGCGUGUAGGCGGCCAUCUAAGUCGGGCGUGAAAUCCCACGGCUCAACCGUGGAAGUGCACUCGAAACUGGAUGGCUAGAGUCCUGGAGAGGGAGGUGGAAUGCUUGGUGUAGAGGUGAAAUUCGUAGAUAUCAAGCGGAACACCGGUGGCGAAGGCGGCCUUCUGGACAGUGACUGACGCUGAGACGCGAAAGCGUGGGGAGCAAACAGG